rnacentral:lncRNA from 1 species
UCUGAUUGAGGGCAAUUUUCAAUGUCAAUCCUUACUAAUUUGGAGAGGCUUCGCAUAACAUCUACAGAAGGAAGGUACAUGAGCUUCUUGCAUGAACGGAUCCACAGAUGCAAUAGAGAAGAGAGAUUAACCAACCACUCUGGCAAGGCUUCUAUUCCUUGAAACUCUUCUAUCGUCAAUUGUUCAAGGGCAGUGAGGAAUUGAAGUUGGGGGGAAGACUUUAGCUUUUGCCAACCAAUAAACUUUAAAACUCGAAGGGAGGCACUAAGAUAUUCAAUGGAACCGAGACAUGCAAAUACAUGCAACUCUUCUGAGAAACCGCCAAUGGCUAAUUUUCCCAAGCAAUUAAACCUACCAAGGCUGUCAUCUGGAAUCCAUAUCAGAUCAGACAAAUUUGUUGGAUCGCAACAUAUUUGGUAGCAGACAACUCC